UCGUCAGUGAGGUAUAUCCUGACCUGGCCGCCUCUGGGCGGGCAGCACGUGAUGAGGAGAGCGUGAUGAGUGCGUGAUUACGUCACCAAGGGGGGGCGCGGGAAAAGCAACGCCCGCUGUCCCUGGCUCGCUCUGAC